UGCGAACUCCUACGGGAGGCAGCAGUGGGGAAUUUUGGACAAUGGGGGCAACCCUGAUCCAGCCAUGCCGCGUGUCUGAAGAAGGCCUUCGGGUUGUAAAGGACUUUUGUUAGGGAAGAAAAGAGAAGUGUUAAUACCACUUUUUGCUGACGGUACCUAAAGAAUAAGCACCGGCUAACUACGUGCCAGCAGCCGCGGUAAUACGUAGGGUGCGAGCGUUAAUCGGAAUUACUGGGCGUAAAGCGAGCGCAGACGGUUACUUAAGCAGGAUGUGAAAUCCCCGGGCUUAACCUGGGAACUGCGUUCUGAACUGGGUAGCUAGAGUAUGUCAGAGGGGGGUAGAAUUCCACGUGUAGCAGUGAAAUGCGUAGAGAUGUGGAGGAAUACCGAUGGCGAAGGCAGCCCCCUGGGAUAAUACUGACGUUCAUGCUCGAAAGCGUGGGUAGCAAACAGGAUUAGAUACCCUUGUAGUCCUAUC
rnacentral:rRNA from 1 species